GAUGACGCUGGCGGCGUGCCUAACACAUGCAAGUCGACGGGACUCAGCCCUUCGGGACUGAGUUUAGUGGCGGACUGGUGAGUAACGCGUGAGGAACCUGCCUUUCAGAGGGGGACAACAGUUGGAAACGACUGCUAAUACCGCAUGACGCAUGACUGGGGCAUCCCGGACAUGCCAAAGAUUUUAUCGCUGAAAGAUGGCCUCGCGUCUGAUUAGAUAGUUGGUGGGGUAACGGCCCACCAAGUCGACGAUGCGUAGCCGACCUGAGAGGGUGAUCGGCCACAUUGGGACUGAGACACGGCCCAGACUCCUACGGGAGGCAGCAGUGGGGAAUAUUGCACAAUGGGGGGAACCCUGAUGCAGCAACGCCGCGUGAGUGAUGACGGUCUUCGGAUUGUAAAACUCUGUCUUUAGGGACGAUAAUGACGGUACCUAAGGAGGAAGCCACGGCUAACUACGUG
rnacentral:rRNA from 1 species